AUCAAAGGGAAUAACACUGUCGAUGGCUUUUUAGACUCAUCUUUUUUAAGGUGGCUCUUUGAAGAAAGAUCGUAUUGAACCAGUCAAUAGACAAGCAGAAGGUAAUAAGAAAAAAAAAAAAAAGCAUAACCCAACAUAAGCAAAAGAACACUUUCAAUGAUGGCUAACUAGAGUUAUUCUAUAAUUACUCCACCAUAGCCCUGAAAAUGAGUCACCAAAGACUGAAUAUUUAUAAGCUUUCUGACCUCAAAAAAAUUCAAAAUCUUAAAUGAGGUCACCUAAGGAGACUGUGGAAAACUUCCAUGCAACUUAUUGGCAGAUUUUAGUUCUUAAUUCAACAAGAGUGGUAUGAAACGCACGCCAUCUGGUUACUGGGAAAAUUCUAGUCCGCAUUAACUGCUUGUGUGAGAGACAUUCCUGCUAUUGAGCUGUAAAUGAGUGCACCUGCAAAUGCGGAAAAGAGCACGCCUUAUCACUUGCUCCUAGGGCUGGGAGACGUGAUGACGUAACACCGCCGUCCGUUCCAUCCGCUUUUAGACUCAUCAGUACAGCUGUUCUCCGCUCCUGCGAUUGUGCCUCGCUGUGCGCCGGAACAGGAGUGCGCGGUGGAGGGGGUUUCAACUGACACUGAGAGGAAACGGUCCCUUCUUGUUUCUCCAGGGCAACUCCAACAUCUCAGAUGAAGCGCAGGAACAAUAUCAGCACGUGGCUUGCAAGGUAAAAUUGAUCCAUGCAAAGCAGCUGAAACAAUGGCCAGUCCCCAAAGAACUAAACAGGAGGCGCUUCAGGAGCACUGUUCCUCUCCAUCCCGCCCAGCCGUGACACAGCCAGCCUGAUGCCCCUUUCCUCACCGCCGUUGCUCUGGAUCUUCAGCCGUCAUGGAGGAUUAAGGUCCAGAGCUGCUCCAGGCCUGAGUAAGUAUUGGGCUGACACUUCAAUCCG
rnacentral:lncRNA from 1 species